UACAGAGCUUCUUACUCAAAACACUGAUAAAAAGAACCCUGAAAAUUCUGCAAUUAAAGAUUCAACAAUGGGAAUGAAAACGCGUUCAACAGUCUCAUCAGUGCGCGAGAAAUGGGAUAAAAUCUUUGAAGGUUUGGUUAAGAUGCUUAAAUCUCAGCAACAACAUCUUGAAACUCUUGCUCAAGAAAGGAAGGUUCUUGAAGAUCGGAUAAAGUUACAAUACGAACGGUGGGCCUCUGACGUUCGCCUCUACGAAGGUCACAUCUCUCAGAUGAAGACUUAUUUGGAAUCAAAAGAGAUAGCGUGUGUGCUUGAGGCUGCAAAAGCCGAUUUGAUGUAGGAUUGAAGCAAAGAGAAGAUGAUCUUUGCAAAUUGAAAUUAGAAGAAACAGAGGAUGAAUUGUGCAAUUUCAGAGUCUGGUUUGACAUCCUCAGUAAAAACUCGAAAGAUGUCCCCAAAGAAACCAAAAAAGGAAUGCCAAGAUGUAUGGAUUGUGGUUCAAAGUGUAUUACUUCGAGUGCACUAGAAGGCGAUUUACAAAAGCUAAAGCUGGAAUACGAAAAUCUCGCUUCACAAACGAGUUCUCAGAUUGCAGCACUUACGACAGAGAAUAAGUUUGCAUGGAAUCAGUUAAACAUUCUUGAAAGUUGGUAUACAGAUAAAUUAAACAGCAAGCAGUCUGAAUUUGAAAAGACUAAUAGGAAAAUUGAGGUACUUAUUUCCAAUAUGGAGGAUCUGAGGUCAUCUAAUACUGAAAAGACGAAAUAAUUGAGAGAUUGAAAUCCGAAGUGUCUCGAAAAGAGGCUGAUGCAAAUAGAUUAAAUGAAGAAGUUUCUAAAUUAUCUAGGGAGAUAGAGUGGUUAAGGAAGUCCAGAAGUUUUUCUUAUAAACCUGUUAUAAGACGAUGUUCAGAAGGUGGGAGAACAUGUGUUCUGGGAGGAGAUAAUGGUGGUAGGGAUGGAUUCGAUGAUACUACGAAGAAAGAACGAUCUGCUCAUGUUCCGGAUAUUCUGAAGGACAAUGGAAAGGAAAGCAGAGUUUGAAGAGAAAAAAGGAUGAAGAAAUACCCAUUUCAGAAACUCCGAAAUUUUCACUUCUACAUUUAAAGUUCCCAGAUUGAAAGCCUCCACUCCCAAGACAACUUGACCUCUUGUAUCUUCUUGGCUUGUAACUUGUAAGUUAUUCACAUACAUUUUAUUCCAUGUCUCUCAUAUUGUUUUGCUUCUAUGUAUACUAAUUUCCACAAGAAGCUAUGCCACCAUCACGAGUCGCGACCAUGCUCCAAGGUGUUCAUAUUUAUUCGAUGUAACGGUAAAAGUAUGACUUUUGUUUCCAAA